rnacentral:rRNA from 1 species
UACGGAAGGGGCAUGCGUUGUUCGGAAUCAUUGGGCGUAAAGGGCGCGUAGGUGGUUCUGUAUGUCUACCGUGAAAGCGUACGGCUCAACUGUAUUUUGUCGGUAGAAACUGCAGGACUUGAGGCUGGGAGGGGCUGGUGGAAUUCCCUGUGUAGCGGUGAAAUGCGUAGAGAUGGGGGGAGAACACUCGUGGCGAAGGCGGCCAGCUAGACCAGUUCUGACACUGAGGCGCGACAGCGUGGGGAGCAAACAGG